GGAGAAGUGGAGUUAUGGAGAUGUGAGUCAGCUUUUCCAUGGCUGUAUCGUACAAAUAGCCCCAGAGUCAGUUUCCUGCCUCCCAGCCAAAAGAGGCAUUUUUGAGACCUCUUGCCUCCUUCUCAGGAGUAUUCCUGAUACAAUGUCAAAUAUCCAAAAGGUUCUACAGCCCAACAUAGUUUGGCUUUGAAUCCAAGUUGGCAACGGUUGGUGAUGUGAAAUGGAGACCUUUCCCCAAAGAGGCAGGAGUGAGCAUGACCCAGGCUGGGUCCUCUGCUGGAGGGAAGCAGAUGGACACCAGACACCUCUGCUUCCCUGCUGUGUGGCCCCACAGGUGACAGAUGGGACAGAGUCGCCUGCCAAUCCUCAGAUCACCAUCUGAGGCAGUUGGCAAAGAACAGACUCCACACCUGGCUGGUCCAGGUGAGACCUUUCAUAAUGAGCAUGUGGCUGUAAGUGCCUCCGUUCAACUAGUCUGGGGCAGUCUGAAAUGUCUAGAACCAACUUGAAACAACAGGAAAACUAAACAGCUUCCCCACAGGCAUAGAUGCCAAGUUGAUCACCAGCAAAGGGAAAAAUCAAUACACUGAGUUAUCCUGAAAAAUGAAAUGGAAGCCAACUAGUUUCACCAAAGAAGCAGGACCCUUAGUUCUUAAAAAGAAAAGAAAAGAAAAAUUCACCAGACACCACCAAAAAGAAUAAAAUGCAAAGCCAGGAGGUACCAGUCAGUAGAGACUUGGCAUGUUGAACAUGGUGGACCAGCUGUCCAAGAUGAUAAGAUUGCUGUUGACGGGUAUAGGCCUCCAGGGAGAUGGGCUUUGGAUGGUGUUGCCAUGGCCCGAUCACAGUUGUUUACAUCUGUUCCUUACUAAAACAGCAUUGUACUCCAAGCCCCAUGCCUCAGGAACUAGCUGCUGCCCCUUUGGAAGCACAGACAGCCCUUCCUUGAGAAGAAUCCUCCAGGCACAGGUCACCUAGAGGGCACUGGGGGACACUGGGGCAGAGGAAGCAUUAGUGAGAGGGCAGAAGAGCUGUCUUCCUCCCCUGCCUCUGUCACCCGUCUGAUGUUGCUGCUUCAGUUUCCUGUAUACUUCCCUACCCCAUGUGUUGAUACGAGGCUGCAAGGACAUCUUGCACGUAAGAUGCCAGGUCUUGAGGUUGUUGGUGUCCCAGGACUGUUCUACCACCACAGUGGGCUUGUAAAUCUCAAGGGGAUCCUGUGUCAUCAUUUUAGUCACAGGUAGGGGCUUGGACUGCCACUCCCCCCUUAAUUCUUAGAGUGUAAGUGUAUCUUUGAGUAUUCCUGUGGAUUGUUGCUUCCAUUGGAUAUUUGCCAACUAGCAUGUACCCUGUUCCCAGACAUGUUUGCUAGAAUCUAGUAUUCACUCUACUCCAAGCAAAGAUACUGAAGGUUCUGGCAAGGCUUAGAAACCUGCUCCCAAGAAUCAGUCCUGCAGAAGAUUGUUUGACAACUUGUGAGAAUCAGCAUGACUAUCUCUUCGUUAGAGGAAGGAACCGAGAAGCUGUGACUAAAAAUGGAGAUGGAGCACUUAAUGAGAUAAAAAGAUUUAGAUGACCACAGUGAAUACAUGAAAACAAAUAAAUUCAUGGAAGUUGUGAGUUGAAAGCAGACUGUGAAGGAGGACUAGAUGUGAUGCAUUAUGGGGUGCCUGUUCAACCCACUCUGAGAAGGGGCCCCUCAUCCAUCAGAGCCGUACCUGUUAUACGCGUUCCUGCUGCCUUGACCAGAGCUGAUGAGGCUGAUGGAGUUUCCCUGAAAAUGUGGAGUUGGAAUUUAAGAAUGUGGUCAGUCUCUGGCUAUGACUGGACCUGCAGAUGUAUAAACUUCUUCUCUGUGAAGCAGACAUCUUCUGCCGUGCACAUGGUGAUACCGGAAAGCUGACCUAUCUAGAGCAGAGAAGAAGCAGACACACAGCGAUAAACAGAGUGAUACAGGGCUUCUCGCCACCUGAUGUGAAGAACUGACUCGUUGGAAAAGACCCUGAUGCUGGGAAAGAUUGAAGGCGGGAGGAGAAGGGGACGACAGAGGAGGAGACGGUUGAAUGGCUCAAUGGACGUGAGUUUGAGCAAGCUCCAGGAGUUGGUGAUGGACAGGGAAGCCUGGCAUGCUGCAGUCCAUGGGGUUGCAAAGAGUUGGACACGACUGAGCUGAACUGAACUGAACUGAACCCUCUUGCUGGAGAUUGUGUUGAGGACCAAAGAGGGACAGACAUGAACAAACUAGAAGAUGAACAGGUCUGGAGGCUGGGAAGUCCAAGGUCAAGGUGCUGAUCACUUCCGUUCCUGCUGAGGGCCCUGUGCUUGGCUUAUGGACAGCUACCUUCUCGUCUGUGUGAUCAUUAGCAGAGAGACAGCUCCAGUGUCUCCUUCUCUUCUUACAAUGACACACUAAUCAUAUCGUGGAGGCCGCAUUCUCAUGACCUCAUCUAAACCUAAUUACCUCUCAAAGUCCCCACUACCGAACAUCAUUUUACUAGGGUUAGGGCUUUGACGUAUACAUUUUGGGUGAAAACAAACAUUCUGUCCAUGACAUACAUUUAUUAGGAAAAGAAACUCUCCUUAGUCUCACUCAAGGUCCAGACUUCCUCUUGAAAGAAGAGAUACUCCUUAAGGCUGUGCACUGGGUUAAGUUCUGACCUCCUACUUCCCCAAGGGCAGCCUGCCAUAUUGGAGUUUUUAAAGCAGGCUUUUUCAUAUCCUGGGGUGGGACUGGGCCUUGUGGCAGAUUGUCCUGCUGCUGUGAGACUAUAUUAGUGUCAGAUUUCUUACCUUACCCGGACUGGACAAGACUUGGAAGCUUCCCUCUGGACAUCAGUCUUGACAAAAUUAGCCCCACCCAACUCCAAACAGAAGGCACCACAACUCCUCCAUAAUCUGACCCAGGACAGCAGAAACUGUUAGAGUGUGUAAGCAAGAUUUCUUGGGGCCAUCAUCAUUCCCCUCUGACCCCAACUGCCUACCCUCAUGGCCUCUCAGAUCACCACUGGACAGGGGCCUCAGCUCCCCCUUCCAUAAACAGGUGCCAAUCACCAUCCAAUAGCAGCCAUUGGAUGUGGGAAUCUGAACAUAUUGAAGCACUGGGGAAAUUUAAGUUGUAAUUUUUUUUUUUUUAAUAGAGUACAGGCCUUUAUAGGGUGAAGGUGACCAGACAGAACUGUGAUCCCUGUUCUUGGAGAGAAAGAAAACUUAAAAAUCAUUUAAUUAUGACUUUGGGGCUUAAUAUUAACAAGCUCAAAAGUUUUCCAACACCCUUCCACAAAGCCUCUCAGCCUCCAAAUGAUUUCAGCUGCUCCAAGACAAUCCACUCUGUGUCUGGGGCAUCAAUUUGAUUUACAGAGCAUUUCAAAAUAUUUAUAUAUUUUUUAGGGUUUCCAUCACGGCCUCAGCCAGUAACCUGCUGUGUUUGAAAAUGUCUGGGCAGUAAUUGUCAUUGUUUGCAACAGCUAUUUUGGACUCCAGCGAGUGCUGUGGCAUUUUGUAGAAUCUAGGAAUGCAAUUACCAAAAUUGUAUACAUAAUCCAAGUGACCUCCUGGCUUCAGAAGCUCAACCCCUAGGAAAAAAAGGAUAACAACAGCAAAACGUUUGUUUAAUUUUUCUUCUGUAGUUGGUCAGUGGUAGGUGGAUUAUAUUGUGGCCAAUUUGGCAAAAAGAUGAUUAGUGUAACAAUUCCUUAUAAGUACAAAACAAUGUUGAAUGAAACAUACAAGAAAGAAUAUGACAUGGAUGGCAGGCUCUUGUGACCCACUUUCUUACCUAUGUGUUUGUGGAGGAAACUGAGGGGGCAUCUGGGUCCUGUAAUGACUCAUUCCUCAUGAUGCAAGAGAUUGCUUUUACCAAUUAAAAGUGUGUACUUUAGAAAAAAGUUGCUAACUGUGAAGAAGUUUAUGUAAAACAACAAUAACAAAAAUUUGUUUGAGAAAGAGACCAUUUUGGAGUCACUAAAUGAAUUUACAAGUUGCCCCCAGUGUCAUUAGGGAUUUAGGUUUCUUGAAUCUUAUCAGC
ensembl:lncRNA